AAUUGUUCAUGAUAAGCACUGGAUAAUUGUUUGCGCAAACUUGCUAUACAAGCAGUGGAAUGUAUUUGACUCAAUCCAUUCAAAAGGAAAACAAUCUCCUUUGAAGAAGCAAGCAAAUAACCUGAUCACAAACUUUGCAGCCCUCGCACAAGAGUACAGCCAAUUCAAUGUCGAUGUUGGAUCCUUCGCCCGUGUUGACCUAGAGGAUUACCCAAAGCAAGAUAACCUAUGUGAUUGUGGCUUUUUCGGGCUCAAAUAUGUGGAGAACUUUGAUGGGAAGUCAAUGAAAGAGUUCAAUCAGG